rnacentral:lncRNA from 1 species
UGCAUUAUGUUCCUUGUUUUAAUUCCUUAAUAAAGGCCGGCUGGCUUUUUCCUCCCUUGCCAUCAAAAAGAAAAAAAAUCUAUAAAACUUGAUUGGGUCGCGGCUAUGGUUCGAAGAAAUCGACAUAGUUGUUUUGCUUGUAGACAUGGAUGAAAGACAAGGAUUUGAAGGAUUCCAGACAAAGGAUCCGCAUAGAAAGAUCCUUCCCUUCCGAACAGAG